AUUUUCUUUAAUUAAAGCAAGUACUGUUCUGUUACAAAACAACUAAUAAACAUUUUAUUAUUUUAACAGGUGAACCAUAUUUUACAUCAACUUGGGAAAAGCCAACUUGAAUUCCAUGGAAAUAUAUAAUCAUGUCAUCAAUUAGAUAGUAAACAAUCAUUAAGAAUUAGAUGGCCUCAAGAUUAUAUUUCACAUUGACCAACAUGAAAAUUUUUAAAUGGGAAUGAGUUGAUGGCAUUAUAGUUUUCUAAUGUUCAUCAAGGUGAAGAAACUCACUAUACCUUUCCCUGGUACAGAGCCAUGGUAGUAAUCUUAGAAUAUUUUCAUGAUGCCUCUAUUCAGUAGUUCUUUAACCAGUCUAGUAUUAUGACUGUAUUAUUUUAAAUAGCCUUGUUUGACUUUUGUAUUUUGUUUCUUUAAUAAUACAAUCAUUUACAAUGGUGAAAAUUACAGUUUAAUAUUUGUAUUUCUAAUGAUAAUUACUUGCACAUAUCCAUCACACUUCUCUGUUACUAUAUUACUACCAUGCAAGUAAAAUCUCUUGGGAAAAAUAAAAUGUUGUCCCAGGAUGGUCAUAAAUAUCAGCUAAUAAACCUAAUGAAUAUACCCAUAAUCAUGUACAUAUGACUAUCAUAUAAUAUGUUGUAAUUCCUUUGAGUGUUUCAAAUCAAAUAAAUUUUUAUUUUCAGUUGUUCAUUGUUCAAACUUAUUUGAAACCUACAGUAUAUGUAGUUGCUAUGAUUCAAAUUAAUAUCCAAAAGUGUGCCUUUUACUUCAGUCCUUAAUUAUAGACUCCACCCUAAUACAGACACUUUAUUGUGCCACUCCAAUGUUCAUUCAAAGUGAUCCAACUGACAUCUGAGCUGGUGAUAAUAUACAGCAAAGUAUUGGAACUUGGAGUAUAUCACAUAAGUUGUUCAUUCAGUCAAGACAUCCAGGUUGUGCUGAUCAUCAUAUCAAACUCCAUCACAUAUUGUGCCUUAAAAACAUAUAUACAAAUUUUAAAAGUUGUUGCAGCACACUGGGCAAUUCCAUUUAAUAUAGCCCCCCACACCCUAUUGAGGGGUCUCUUCAUAAUACUAUUACCUUAAACAUUUUGGAACCUCAUUGGAUGCAAUUUUGGAACCCCCAUGGAUAUCUUUCUACCCCUUUAGGAUAUUGUUCCUGCCCCUUUGGGUAUCACUAAAACACCUAAUUUUUUGGAAAUCUCUUAAGCUACCCUCCAGAAAAAUUUAAGGUAAAAUCCCCCUCUCUAAAAUCCCCAUAUAGGAUAUCCAGACCUCAAUAGUGGGGCUAUUUAUAGAUGGAAUGACCCAUUUGACUUGGUGAGUGGUGACUACCACCAAAGCAAAAUGAAAGCAUGCUGCCCUGCAUUACAUACUGUAGAAAACAAAUAAAUU